GAUGAACGCUAGCGGCAGGCCUAAUACAUGCAAGUCGAGCGGCAAGUCGAGGAGUAAUCUGAGACCUAGAGCGGCGUACGGGUGCGUAACGCGUAUGCAACCUACCUCAUACAGGGGGAUAGCCCGGAGAAAUCUGGAUUAAUACCCCAUAGCACAGCACAAGGGCAUCUGCGAGCUGUUAAAGAUUCAUCGGUAUGAGAUGGGCAUGCGUCUGAUUAGCUAGUUGGCGGUGUAACGGACCACCGAGGCGACGAUCAGUAGGGGUUCUGAGAGGAAGGUCCCCCACACUGGCACUGGGAUACGGGCCAGACUCCUACGGGAGGCAGCAGUAGGGAAUAUUGGGCAAUGGACGAGAGUCUGACCCAGCCAUGCCGCGGGCAGGAAGAAGGCCUUCUGGGUUGUAAACUGCUUUUAUCUGGGAAGAAAAGGCCCAUGCGUGGGACAUUGCCGGUACCAGAUGAAUAAGCACCGGCUAACUCCGUGCCAGCCGCCGCCGUAAUAC
rnacentral:rRNA from 1 species